rnacentral:rRNA from 1 species
ACUCAAAUGAAUUGACGGGGACCCGCACAAGCGGUGGAGCAUGUGGUUUAAUUCGACGAUACGCGAAGAACCUUACCCACACUUGACAUCCUUGGAAAGUUUAAGAGAUUAGACCGUGCCCGGAAGGGAGCCAAGUGACAGGUGUUGCAUGGCCGUCGUCAGCUCGUGUCGUGAGAUGUUGGGUUAAGUCCCGCAACGAGCGCAACCCUUAUUGCAUGUUGUAUUUUUCAUGCGAUACUGCCGGUGACAAAUCGGAGGAAGGUGGGGACGAAGUCAGGUCAGCAUGGCCCUUACGUGUGGGGCUACACACGUGCUACAAUGGCUGGUACAACGGGUCGCUAAGUCGCAAGACGGAGCUAAUCCCACCAAAACCAGUCCCAGUUCGGAUUGUAGGCUGCAACUCGCCUACAUGAAGUCGGAAUCGCUAGUAACCGCAGGUCAGCAUACUGCGGUGAAUACGUUCUCGGGUCUUGUACACACCGCCCGU